UAAUACCGCAUACGUCCUACGGGAGAAAGCAGGGGAUCUUCGGACCUUGCGCUAAUAGAUGAGCCUAAGUCGGAUUAGCUAGUUGGUGGGGUAAAGGCCUACCAAGGCGACGAUCUGUAGCGGGUCUGAGAGGAUGAUCCGCCACACUGGGACUGAGACACGGCCCAGACUCUUACGGGAGGCAGCAGUGGGGAAUAUUGGACAAUGGGGGGAACCCUGAUCCAGCCAUGCCGCGUGUGUGAAGA
rnacentral:rRNA from 1 species